UACAGAGGGUGCAAGCGUUAUCCGGAUUCACUGGGUUUAAAGGGUGCGUAGGAGGGCAGGUAGGUCAGUGGUGAAAUCUCCAAGCUUAACUUGGAAACUGCCGUUGAUACUAUCUGUCUUGAAUACCGUGGAGGUGAGCGGAAUAUGUCAUGUAGCGGUGAAAUGCUUAGAUAUGACAUAGAACACCAAUUGCGAAGGCAGCUCACUACACGAAUAUUGACUCUGAGGCACGAAAGCGUGGGGAUCAAACAGG
rnacentral:rRNA from 1 species